rnacentral:rRNA from 1 species
UACGUAGGGGGCAAGCGUUGUCCGGAAUCAUUGGGCGUAAAGAGCGUGUAGGUGGCUCGGUAAGUCCGCUGUGAAAGUCCAGGGCUCAACCCUGGAAAGCCGGUGGAAACUGUCGAGCUAGAGUCCGGAAGAGGCGAGUGGAAUUCCUGGUGUAGCGGUGAAAUGCGCAGAUAUCAGGAGGAACACCAAUGGCGAAGGCAGGUCUCUGGGCCGAUACUGACGCUGAGGAGCGAAAGCGUGGGGAGCGAACAGG